UGGGAAGGAGGACGGUCACGC
rnacentral:misc_RNA from 1 species